rnacentral:rRNA from 1 species
GAUGAACGCUGGCGGCGUGCCUAAUACAUGCAAGUCGAGCGAACAGACGAGGAGCUUGCUCCUCUGACGUUAGCGGCGGACGGGUGAGUAACACGUGGAUAACCUACCUAUAAGACUGGGAUAACUUCGGGAAACCGGAGCUAAUACCGGAUAAUAUAUUGAGCCGCAUGGUUCAAUAGUGAAAGACGGUUUUGCUGUCACUUAUAGAUGGAUCCGCGCCGCAUUAGCUAGUUGGUAAGGUAAAGGCUUACCAAGGCAACGAUGCGUAGCCGACCUGAGAGGGUGAUCGGCCACACUGGAACUGAGACACGGUCCAGACUCCUACGGGAGGCAGCAGUAGGGAAUCUUCCGCAAUGGGCGAAAGCCUGACGGAGCAACGCCGCGUGAGUGAUGAAGGUCUUCGGAUCGUAAAACUCUGUUAUUAGGGAAGAACAAAUGUGUAAGUAACUAUGCACGUCUUGACGGUACCUAAUCAGAAAGCCACGGCUAACUACGUG